GACGAACGCUGGCGGCAGGCUUAACACAUGCAAGUCGAACGCAUCCUUCGGGGUGAGUGGCAGACGGGUGAGUAACACGUGGGAACGUACCUUUCAGUUCGGAAUAACCCAGGGAAACUUGGGCUAAGACCGGAUACGCCCUUUUGGGGAAAGAUUUAUCGCUGAGAGAUCGGCCCGCGUCUGAUUAGCUAGUUGGUGAGGUAAAGGCUCACCAAGGCGACGAUCAGUAGCUGGUCUGAGAGGAUGAUCAGCCACAUUGGGACUGAGACACGGCCCAAACUCCUACGGGAGGCAGCAGUGGGGAAUAUUGGACAAUGGGCGCAAGCCUGAUCCAGCCAUGCCGCGUGAGUGAUGAAGGCCCUAGGGUUGUAAAGCUCUUUUGUGCGGGAA
rnacentral:rRNA from 1 species